CCAGUCCUCAGCACACCAUGUUCAUUGCUGUUUCCCUUGCACUUUGGGCAGGUUUAUCCUCUCAAGGCAUGUCAUCUGUACCAGCUGUGAAGCCCUCACUCAUCAGUGUUAGGAGCAGAGCCUGCCUGCAGUCCUCCAUCUCCUUAAGAGACAGCCUGAGCUGCAGCACCAUAUUCCUGCACUAGGAGCAGCAGCACAACAUGGUGAGGAACUUGGGGACCUGCCAGCUGAAGGGAACUGCCAGUCUCCAUCAGGCUCUUGGCAAACUCUUAAUGUGGUGAAAUCCUGCAGUCAAGAGUUGGGGGAAUAGAAGGUGAGUCACAAUCAGCCACAAGGGAAACCUUCAGAUUCCAAAUCACCAGACAGCAACUCCCUGAUUGCCCAAAGGAGUGGUCAGUGCAGACUGCAACAAUCAACACAUUCCCCACCUGCCUUUGCCAAGGGCUGAAAACCUGCCAAAAGCUGCUGCUGCAGCCUCCAUCCCAAAUGCCCAGAUGCAGGCUCUAAACCAACAGUUUGAGCAGGUGAAAGGAUCCUUUCCUGGAAAGGAACAAAAGGGGAAGUCCUGCAGCUAUCUGAAUUUGUCAAGCCCUAUCAGUUUCAGCACCACCCAGGGAGCACAGCUUCAUAUGCAGAAUGAUCACUAAUGACUCAUGUUCACAGCCCAAUCCAGUUUGCUCCACCCCACACAACACCUUUGAAAACGUCUUUAUGCUUAAAGGAUGGUGUCAGUUAAGCAGCCACUGCAAAAAGUAACUCGGUUACAAGAAAAUCUCCAUUUCAGUGUGAAUCUGGUUGCUAUUCUGCAAGACAACAUCAAGAAAUCCUUUGGUGAGCCUAAGGCCGGAGCAUGUGAUGAACUGAAAAGAGUGGCUCCUGAAUUUGCUUAUACAGAUGCAUCUUUGGGAAAGCUUUUCCACGUGCAAUCUGGCAGCACUGCCGACUUUCAACCACUGCAGGAGUUCCAAUCUGAAGGCAAAAGCUUUCAAAGCAGUAUCUAAAUUCUUUCACAGAAUUUCCCAGCUGCAGUAAAUGAGUCUGUUCUUACAUUAGCUACAACGAAUGGGAGCCAGUAUGAGCAGCUAUAUUAAAGAGUGAAUGCUUGCAAAACAAACCAGACUUCUGCCUGAGGAAUGUAACCAAAUUAUCUCCAUGUAGACUAAACAGGCUGAACAGGCAGUGUAGAGAGUCGGCAAUGACAGAGACCUGAGCUCUGGCACCAAUUCAAGUUACUGUGCACUGGUAACCACCCAACCCCAUGGCUCACCU